rnacentral:rRNA from 1 species
AUUGAACGCUGGCGGCAGGCCUAACACAUGCAAGUCGAGCGGAUGAAGGGAGCUUGCUCCUGGAUUCAGCGGCGGACGGGUGAGUAAUGCCUAGGAAUCUGCCUGGUAGUGGGGGAUAACGUCCGGAAACGGGCGCUAAUACCGCAUACGUCCUGAGGGAGAAAGUGGGGGAUCUUCGGACCUCACGCUAUCAGAUGAGCCUAGGUCGGAUUAGCUAGUUGGUGGGGUAAAGGCCUACCAAGGCGACGAUCCGUAACUGGUCUGAGAGGAUGAUCAGUCAACUGGGAAUGGGGAACCGUCCCAGCCCCCUAGGGGGGGCAGCAGUGGGGAAUUUUGGCAAAUGGGCGAAAGCCUGAUCCAGCCAUGCCGGUGGUGUGAAGAGGGUUUUCGGUUUUUAAACCACUUUAAGUUGGGGGGAAGGGCAGUAAGUUAAACCCUUGCUUUUUUGCCGUUACCAACAGAAAAAGCCCCGGCUAACUUCUU